rnacentral:rRNA from 1 species
GUCAAAUCAUCAUGCCCUUUAUGACCUGGGCUACACACGUAAUACAAUGGCACUCUAACAGAGGGAAGCGAAGGAGCGAUCUGGAGCGAAGCCCCAAAAAGUGUCUCAGUUCGGAUUGCAGGCUGCAACUCGCCUGCAUGAAGUCGGAAUUGCUAGUAAUCGUGGAUCAUCAUGCCACGGUGAAUACGUUCCCGGGCCUU